GAGGGCCCUGUGUGCUGGUGU
rnacentral:miRNA from 1 species